rnacentral:rRNA from 1 species
AUUGAACGCUGGCGGCAGGCCUAACACAUGCAAGUCGAACGAGUGGCGGACGGGUGAGUAAUGUCGGGGAAUCUCCCUGAUGGAGGGGGCUCACUUCUGGAAAUGGUAUCUAAUACCGCAUACUCUCAGAUGUGCCCAGAUGGGAUUCUGUAGUUUGUGGGGUAACGGCUCACAAAGGCGACGAUCCCGAUCUGGUCUGAGAGGAUGACCAGCCAGACUGGAAAGGAGACAAGGUCCAGACUCCUACGGGAGGCAGCAGUGGGGAAUAAUGGAAAAUGGGCGGAAGGCGGAUGGAGCCCAGCCGGGUGUAUGAAGAAGGCCUUCGGGUUGUAAAGUACUUUCAGCGGGGAGGCGUUACCCGCAGAAGAAGCACCGGCUAACUCCGUGCCAGCAGCCGCGGUAAUAC